CUGAGAAACGGCUACCACAUCCAAGGAAGGCAGCAGGCGCGCAAAUUACCCAAUCCCGAUACGGGGAGGUAGUGACAAUAAAUACUGAUACAGGGCUCUUUUGGGUCUUGUAAUUGGAAUGAGAACAAUCUAAAUCCCUUAACGAGGAACAAUUGGAGGGCAAGUCUGGUGCCAGCAGCCGCGGUAAUUCCAGCUCCAAUAGCGUAUAUUAAAGUUGUUGCAGUUAAAAAGCUCGUAGUUGAACCUUGGGCCCGUCCUGCCGGUCCGCCUCACCGCGAGUACUGGUCCGGAUGGGCCUUUCUUUCUGGGGAAUCCCAUGGCCUUCACUGGCUGUGGCGGGGAACCAGGACUUUUACUGUGAAAAAAUUAGAGUGUUCAAAGCAGGCCUUUGCUCGGAUACAUUAGCAUGGAAUAAUAGAAUAGGACGUGCGGUUCUAUUUUGUUGGUUUCUAGGACCGCCGUAAUGAUUAAUGGGGAUAGUCGGGGGCGUCAGUAUUCAGCUGUCAGAGGUGAAAUUCUUGGAUUUGCUGAAGACUAACUACUGCGAAAGCAUUCGCCAAGGAUGUUUUCAUUAAUCAGGGAACGAAAGUUAGGGGAUCGAAGACGAUCAGAUACCGUCGUAGUCUUAACCAUAAACUAUGCCGACUAGGGAUCGGGCGGGGUUUCUAUGAUGACCCGCUCGGCACCUUACGAGAAAUCAAAGUUUUUUGGGUUCUGGGGGGAGUAUGGUCGCAAGGCUGAAACUAAAGAAAUUGACGGAAGGGCACCACAAGGCGUGGAGCCUGCGGCUUAAUUUGACUA
rnacentral:rRNA from 1 species